rnacentral:rRNA from 1 species
CCCUUAGAUGUCCGGGGCCGCACGCGCGCUACACUGAAGGAAUCAGCGUGGCUUUCUCCCUGACCCGAAAGGGUUGGGAAACCCGUUGAAUCUCCUUCGUGAUAGGGAUUGGGGCUUGAAAUUGUUCCCCAUGAACGAGAAAUUCCCAGUAAGCGCGAGUCAUAAGCUCGCGUUGAUUACGUCCCUGCCCUUUGUACACACCGCCCGUCGCUACUACCGAUUGAACGGUUUAGUGAGGGCCUCGGAUUGGUCUCGGCCCGCUCUUUACCGGGCGGCGCCGUUGGUCGAGAAGACGCUCGAACUUGAUCGUUUAGAGGAAGUAAAAGUCGUAACA